rnacentral:rRNA from 1 species
AUUGAACGCUGGCGGCAUGCCUUACACAUGCAAGUCGAACGGCAGCACGGGAGCAAUCCUGGUGGCGAGUGGCGAACGGGUGAGUAAUAUAUCGGAACGUGCCCGGUCGUGGGGAUAACGUAGCGAAAGCUACGCUAAUACCGCAUACGAUCUAUGGAUGAAAGCGGGGGAUCGCAAGACCUCGCGCGAUUGGAGCGGCCGAUAUCAGAUUAGGUAGUUGGUGAGGUAAAGGCUCACCAAGCCGACGAUCUGUAGCUGGUCUGAGAGGACGACCAGCCACACUGGGACUGAGACACGGCCCAGACUCCUACGGGAGGCAGCAGUGGGGGAAUUUUUGGGACAAUGGGCGCAAGCCUGAUCCAGCAAUGCCGCGUGCAGGAUGAAGGCCUUC